AAGCUCGUAGUUGAACCUUGGGCCUGGCUGGCCGGUCCGCCUCACCGCGUGUACUGGUCCGGCCGGGCCUUUCCCUCUGUGGAACCCCAUGCCCUUCACUGGGUGUGGCGGGGAAACAGGACUUUUACUGUGAAAAAAUUAGAGUGCUCCAGGCAGGCCUAUGCUCGAAUACAUUAGCAUGGAAUAAUAGAAUAGGACGUGUGGUUCUAUUUUGUUGGUUUCUAGGACCGCCGUAAUGAUUAAUAGGGAUAGUCGGGGGCAUCAGUAUUCAAUUGUCAGAGGUGAAAUUCUUGGAUUAAUUGAAGACUAACUACUGCGAAAGCAUUUGCCAAGGAUGUUUUCAUUAAUCAGUGAACGAAAGUUAGGGGAUCGAAGACGAUCAGAUACCGUCGUAGUCUUAACCAUAAACUAUGCCGACUAGGGAUCGGACGGGCUUCUUUUUUGACCCGUUCGGCACCU
rnacentral:rRNA from 1 species